rnacentral:rRNA from 1 species
CCUACGGGAGGCAGCAGUGGGGAAUUUUGGACAAUGGGCGAAAGCCUGAUCCAGCCAUGCCGCGUGCGGGAAGAAGGCCUUCGGGUUGUAAACCGCUUUUGUCAGGGAAGAAAUCCUUUGAGUUAAUACCUCGGGGGGAUGACGGUACCUGAAGAAUAAGCACCGGCUAACUACGUGCCAGCAGCCGCGGUAAUACGUAGGGUGCGAGCGUUAAUCGGAAUUACUGGGCGUAAAGCGUGCGCAGGCGGUUAUGCAAGACAGAUGUGAAAUCCCCGGGCUCAACCUGGGAACUGCAUUUGUGACUGCAUAGCUAGAGUACGGUAGAGGGGGAUGGAAUUCCGCGUGUAGCAGUGAAAUGCGUAGAUAUGCGGAGGAACACCGAUGGCGAAGGCAAUCCCCUGGACCUGUACUGACGCUCAUGCACGAAAGCGUGGGGAGCAAACAGGAUUAGAUACCCUGGUAGUCCACGCCCUAAACGAUGUCAACUGGUUGUUGGACGGCUUGCUGUUCAGUAACGAAGCUAACGCGUGAAGUUGACCGCCUGGGGAGUACGGCCGCAAGGUUGAAACUCAAAGGAUUGACGG